GUGUGUGUGUGUGUGUGUGUGUCUUUAAAAGAUUCCACCUCCCAGCCCGCCUCUCCCAGUUUGUCACUAGGUUUUGCAGUCUCCUGGUUUCCGCUGGCCACCCGAGAAGCCAGCAUGGACAAUCUCCCUUAUAGUUUCAGAAGCAGGCUUGUUGCCAUGGAGGCCACAUUCUGAGUUGAGGAGUGCAAAGGUAACCAUUUGUUUUUAGUUUCAAAGAUCUGCCUAGAAGAUAGGCUGCUGCUUCUUCUGGAAGAAGAGGCUGAUUAGUGCGAUUCCUUCAAGGGUUCAGCCCAAAGGUCUUUCUUCUAUUCCCUCACCCACUUAUUAAAACUUGCCAAGAACCUCUGGAGGAAAAUCUGCCAGAUUCCAUCAUAUCAGACAGAUGGCUAAUCCUGGAGGUGGUGCUGUUUGCAACGGGAAUCUUCACAAUCGCAGGAAACAGAAAGACAGCUCACAAAGUGGAAACUGCACCAAGAACGGGAUAGUGAGAGAAGCCCAGCAAAAUGGGAAGCCACAUUUUUAUGAUAAACCAGUUAUUGAAUCUUUUGAAGAAGCACCUCUUCACGUUAUGGUUCUCACUUAUUUUGGAUAUGGAGUUGUAACCCUAUUUGGCUAUUUCAGAGACUUUCUGAGAAACUGGAGAAUAGAAAAAUGCAACACAGCUAUAGAGCGAGAUGAACAAAAAGAUUUUGUGCCAAUGUAUCAAAAUUUUGAGAAUUUUUACAAACGGAACCUCUAUAUGAGAAUCAGAGACAACUGGAACCGCCCCAUCUGCAGCGCCCCAGGGGCUCUGUUCGAUGUAGUGGAGAGAGUGUCAGAUGACUACAACUGGACAUUCAGGUUUACUGGAAGAAUCAUCAAAGAUGUCAUCAACAUGGGCUCCUAUAAUUUCCUUGGCCUGGCAGCCAGGUACGAUGAGUCAAUGAGGACAGUGAAGGAUGUCUUAAACACGUAUGGCUUAGGAGUGGCCAGCACCAGACAUGAAAUGGGAACCUUGGAUAAGCAUAAAGAGUUGGAGAGCCUUGUGGCUAAGUUCCUGAAUGUAGAAGCAGCUAUGGUCUUUGGGAUGGGAUUCGCAACUAACUCCAUGAAUAUCCCUGCACUCGUUGGAAAGGGAUGCCUCAUCUUAAGUGAUGAACUAAACCAUGCAUCUCUUGUGCUUGGGACCCGGCUUUCAGGUGCAACUAUUAGGAUCUUCAAACACAACAACAUACCAAACCUAGAGAAGCUCCUGAGAGAUGCUGUGAUCUACGGCCAGCCGCGAACCCACAGAGCCUGGAAAAAGAUUCUCAUUGUAGUGGAAGGCAUCUACAGCAUGGAAGGUUCCAUUGUGCAUCUGCCCCAGAUCGUGGCUCUAAAGAAGAAGUACAAGGCUUACCUCUACAUAGAUGAAGCUCACAGUAUUGGGUCCAUUGGUCCCACCGGCCGGGGUGUUGUAGAAUUCUUUGGAAUGGACCCAGGAGAUGUUGAUGUGUACAUGGGCACAUUCACCAAAAGCUUUGGAGCUUCAGGAGGUUACAUAGCUGGAAGAAAGGACCUUGUGGAUUAUUUACGAGUUUACUCACAUAGUGCUGUUUAUGCUACAUCCAUGAGUCCCCCGAUAGCAGAGCAAAUCAUCAGAUCAAUUAAAUUGAUCACAGGACUGGAUGGCACCACACAAGGAUUGCAGAGAAUACAGCAACUUGCAAAAAACACAAGAUACUUCAGACAGAGACUGAACAAAAUGGGCUUCAUCAUCUACGGCAAUGAGAAAUCUCCUGUUAUUCCUGUGCUCCUUUAUAUGCCUGCUAAAGUGGCGGCUUUUGCAAGGCAUCUACUAAACCGAAAAAUCGGAGUGGUGGUGGUUGGAUUUCCAGCCACUCCCCUCGCAGAAGCUCGGGCCCGGAUUUGCAUUUCAGCCGCACAUACACGGGAGAUGUUAGACGCGGUGCUGGACGCCCUGGAUGAGAUGGGUGAUUUCCUGCAACUGAAAUAUUCCCGGCACAGGAAGUCAGCGCGCCCUGAACUCUAUGAUGAGACAAGCUUUGAACUUGAAGAUUAAGUUUCCUAGUCCUGAAUUGGACCUAAAGACUUUGCCAGAAAUACCUCCCUCCAUGCCUCAAAAGGAAUAUAAAUGGAUUUCUCCCCCUUUUUUAGGAUAAUUUUGGUUUCCAAACCAGCUUCAGUGAACUGAGGGAGACUUUGUGUUUUUAAUGUCUCCAACCAGGGACUGCGGAGACAAAAAUGUGGUUCCAGAUUUUACUUUUCUCCUCUCCCAGAUACCCUGCUACAAAUACACACACACACACACACACACACACACACACACACACACACACACACCACACUUCUUAGAACAUUUUUAAUGGCAACGAGGCUGUGUUAAAGUCAUUACUCUGCAACCUCUGUGGUCCAGACUCUUUCAGGAGUUCUAAACAAAUGAGAGGGUUUUGAUCUUUAAUUCAGUAGACCUCACUAUGGGUUUGCCUCUUUCGCCUGCAGACAUGGGCAAGGGUGGUGAGCAGUAGCUGACCUCAUUGUUUCAUCCCUGAAAGUACCAGCUAGCACUCAGCCCCAUCAUGGGAAGAUCCAGGCAGGAAGGUAAAGAAACGUUGCUUCUACCAUUUGCCACAUCUGGACUUUUUCCAAGGACAAGUGUCAGAAGCCAUAGUUAACAUUUUGAGGGAGAGAGCAGAACUAGCCAUCAGUGCCUAGAGAACUCUUUGAAGGAAACUUUCUUUUUCUUCAUGCUGGUCUCCUACAGUUUUAUAGCUGGGUUGUUCAGGUUUGGAAAAUUUAAGACUUUUGUUUCAUAAGGAAGGGUGCAGAAAGCAGGCACAAACCAAUUUUAGACCUAGACUAAGACUAUAAAGUUAUAACGACUUGAAUACUGUUGGUGCCAUGUGGAGUGAAUGUUCAGCAGGCAUAGCCUUUAUUACUUUAAGACAUGAGUGGUUAUUUUCCUAUUGAAUUUUGAGUAAAUGGUGAGAUUCAAUUUCCUUUAGAGUUGACCCCCAAGACUACACUAAGAAUGUAUUGAUUCAAAAAUGGCAUUUAAAAGCAAAUUCUACCCAACUCUUUCAAGAAUGACACCCCAUUCAGGCAGACUUGCCCACUAUCAGGCAAUUCACUGUAAUUUACUUGAGCUCUCUUUGUCUCUCUGUCUGUAUGUCUCUCUCUCUAUAAAUGUGAAAAUAAACUUCUCUGGAAUAGUACCCCCUUGCUAAUGGGAUCUAAUUGGUAUGGAAAAAGCCAGUGGAAAGCCUUAUCUUUAUUUAACAAAUUCCCAGAUGGUGCCCAGAUUUGGAAACUCUAAAGAGCAGUGGUGACCUUUUAGCAAAGCUUCUGAAAUAGUUCAAAUGAGUUACAGAACAUUCCACUCCAUCAAGUAACACUAUAAACAAAUCACUUCAAGAGAGGUUUGACUUGGUGUGACACAGAUGGACCUAAACUUUCAUGCUGGGCAUUGAGAUAGAAAUUCAAUCCAAAGCACCGGUGUUGGAUGGAGCAAUAUGCCCUGAGCUUAUAGCUUAUUAAAGGAUAAAGGUGAUAAGUGUGGAAAGCUUUUUAUGGGGAAAUUAUAACCCCCAGUAGAUGUAACAGUUUGAAAGUGGAUCAUAAGUUCCUCAUGAAUAUUUGUAAGGAGUAUUCAUAGUGGAAGAGAAGUGGGUUCUAAAAAGCUUCUCCAUCCAAUAACUGGUUUUGAUAACUAAAUUCCAACUCUUCUCAAUGAACUGGUACAGCAUUACUUGUGCAAAGAAAAUAUAUGUUCUAUAAAUGUGCAAAUAAAAGGAAGAUAUGCAGAUCUUUUCUCUUGAAAAUGUUUAUUUAAGUGAGUUUGAUCCUACUUAACUGUCCAAAAUGCAUGAAUGCCUUCAGUCCUAUAAAACAAACAGGAGGGUAGUGGGCCAUCUGGGUACAGCAAAAAAUAAAAAUCCCCUACCAUUAUGGAUAUCUGUGAUCUUCAUACACACCUUCACCCCCAACCUUUGAGUUUUAAGCCUCUGGAGGGGUGUCUUUGGGAGCAGGAAAGUCUAUCAUUAUUAUUUGGGGGGCAGAUAUUGAGUCUGACUCCUGAUAGGAAACUACCCAUAUAGCAUAGGCAGCAAGAGGGCAGGUUAUCCCCUCUUCAUCAAGAUCCUAGAGUCCUGGGGAAAUUUGUUACAUUCUCAAAUACAAUAUGAACAACCUAUCAGUCAGAAAGUCUGUUGAAUAUACACUCAUGAGAACUGUAAUCCAAGUGGAAUGCUUUCUGAGCAUGGCAGGAGGGACCCAGGUCUCUCAGCACUGGGUACUAUAUUAGUAUAUGUCAUAUAGAAUGAGGUUGGUUAAGUGGCUGAACAUGAACUUUUUUUAUUUUUAUAA